UAGGGAAUCUUCCGCAAUGGACGAAAGUCUGACGGAGCAACGCCGCGUGAGUGAUGAAGGUUUUCGGAUCGUAAAGCUCUGUUGCCAGGGAAGAACGUCUUCUAGAGUAACUGCUAGGAGAGUGACGGUACCUGAGAAGAAAGCCCCGGCUAACUACGUGCCAGCAGCCGCGGUAAUACGUAGGGGGCAAGCGUUGUCCGGAAUUAUUGGGCGUAAAGCGCGCGCAGGCGGUUCUUUAAGUCUGGUGUUUAAACCAUGGGCUCAACUCAUGGUCGCACUGGAAACUGGGGGACUUGAGUGCAGAAGAGGAGAGUGGAAUUCCACGUGUAGCGGUGAAAUGCGUAGAUAUGUGGAGGAACACCAGUGGCGAAGGCGACUCUCUGGGCUGUAACUGACGCUGAGGCGCGAAAGCGUGGGGAGCAAACAGG
rnacentral:rRNA from 1 species